rnacentral:rRNA from 1 species
UACGUAGGGCGCAAGCGUUGUCCGGAUUUAUUGGGCGUAAAGAGCGUGUAGGCGGCUUUACAGGUCCGUUGUGAAAACUCGAGGCUCAACCUCGAGACGCCGGUGGAAACCGUAAAGCUAGAGUCCGGAAGAGGAGAGUGGAAUUCCUGGUGUAGCGGUGAAAUGCGCAGAUAUCAGGAAGAACACCCGUGGCGAAGGCGGCUCUCUGGGACGGUACUGACGCUGAGACGCGCAAGCGUGGGGAGCGAACAGG